rnacentral:lncRNA from 1 species
GAGCAGAUGACCAUCCUGUACGACAUCUGGAACGCGGGGCUGGACGCCGAGGACAUGCACUUCCUGCGCCUCACCUACGAGCGCCUGCUGCAGGAGGACAACAGCACCGACUGGCUCAACGACACCCACUGGGUGCACCACACCGAUAUCCCCGCCCCGGGGGCGUCCGGCGCUUGGAGAUAGGGUAUCACGAUGUCUGGGUGUUGGAGGACUGGGGUGUCCGGGGGUUGGGAGACGGAGCAUCAGGAUGUCCAGGGGUUGGAGGACUGGGGCGUCCAAGGGUUGGGAUAUGGGGUGUCAGGAUGUCCGGGUGUUGGAGGACUGCGGUGUCCGGGUGUUGGGAGACGGGGCAUCAGGAUAUCCAGGUGUUGGAGGACUGCGGUGUCCGGGUGUUGGGAGAUGGGGCAUCAGGAUAUCCAGGUGUUGGAGGACUGCGGUGUCCGGGUGUUGGGAGACAGGGUGUCAGGAUGUGUGGGUGUUAGAGAAUUGUGGUGUCCAGGUGUUGGGGGGGACUGUGUCCGAGUGUUGAGAGACAUGGUGUCAGGAUGUCUGGGUGUUGGAGAAUUGUGGUGUCCAGGUGUUGGAGGACUGCGGUGUCCGGGUGUUGGGAGAUGGGGCAUCAGGAUAUCCAGGUGUUGGAGGACUGCGGUGUCCGGGUGUUGGGAGACAGGGUGUCAGGAUGUGUGGGUGUUAGAGAAUUGUGGUGUCCAGGUGUUGGGGGACUGGGGUGUCCGAGUGUUGGGAGACAGGCGGUCAGGAUGUCCAGGUGUUGGGGACUGUGUCCGAGUGUUGAGAGACAUGGUGUCAGGAUGUCUGGGUGUUGGAGAAUUGUGGUGUCCAGGUGUUGGGAGACGGGGCGUCACGAUGUCCGGGUGUUGGAGGACUGCGGUGUCCAGGUGUUGGAGGACUGCGGUGUCCGGGUGUUGGGAGACAGGGUGUCAGGAUGUGUGGGUGUUAGAGAAUUGUGGUGUCCAGGUGUUGGGGGACUGGGGUGUCCGAGUGUUGGGAGACAGGCGGUCAGGAUGUCCAGGUGUUGGGGACUGUGUCCGAGUGUUGAGAGACAUGGUGUCAGGAUGUCUGGGUGUUGGAGAAUUGUGGUGUCCAGGUGUUGGGAGACGGGGCGUCACGAUGUCCGGGUGUUGGAGGACUGCGGUGUCCAGGUGUUGGAGGACUGCGGUGUCCGGGUGUUGGGAGACAGGGUGUCAGGAUGUGUGGGUGUUAGAGAAUUGUGGUGUCCAGGUGUUGGGGGACUGGGGUGUCCGAGUGUUGGGAGACAGGCGGUCAGGAUGUCCAGGUGUUGGGGACUGUGUCCGAGUGUUGAGAGACAUGGUGUCAGGAUGUCUGGGUGUUGGAGAAUUGUGGUGUCCAGGUGUUGGGAGACGGGGCGUCACGAUGUCCGGGUGUUGGAGGACUGCGGUGUCCAGGUGUUGGAGGACUGCGGUGUCCGGGUGUUGGGAGACAGGGUGUCAGGAUGUGUGGGUGUUAGAGAAUUGUGGUGUCCAGGUGUUGGGGGACUGGGGUGUCCGAGUGUUGGGAGACAGGCGGUCAGGAUGUCCAGGUGUUGGGGGACUGGGGUGUCCGAGUGUUGGGAGACAGGCGGUCAGGAUGUCCAGGUGUUGGGGACUGUGUCCGAGUGUUGAGAGACAUGGUGUCAGGAUGUCUGGGUGUUGGAGAAUUGUGGUGUCCAGGUGUUGGGAGACGGGGCGUCACGAUGUCCGGGUGUUGGAGGACUGCGGUGUCCAGGUGUUGGAGGACUGCGGUGUCCGGGUGUUGGGAGACAGGGUGUCAGGAUGUGUGGGUGUUAGAGAAUUGUGGUGUCCAGGUGUUGGGGGACUGGGGUGUCCGAGUGUUGGGAGACAGGCGGUCAGGAUGUCCAGGUGUUGGGGACUGUGUCCGAGUGUUGAGAGACAUGGUGUCAGGAUGUCUGGGUGUUGGAGAAUUGUGGUGUCCAGGUGUUGGGAGACGGGGCGUCACGAUGUCCGGGUGUUGGAGGACUGCGGUGUCCAGGUGUUGGAGGACUGCGGUGUCCGGGUGUUGGGAGACAGGGUGUCAGGAUGUGUGGGUGUUAGAGAAUUGUGGUGUCCAGGUGUUGGGGGACUGGGGUGUCCGAGUGUUGGGAGACAGGCGGUCAGGAUGUCCAGGUGUUGGGGGGGACUGUGUCCGAGUGUUGAGAGACAUGGUGUCAGGAUGUCUGGGUGUUGGAGAAUUGUGGUGUCCAGGUGUUGGAGGACUGCGGUGUCCGGGUGUUGGGAGACAGGGUGUCAGGAUGUGUGGGUGUUAGAGAAUUGUGGUGUCCAGGUGUUGGGGGACUGGGGUGUCCGAGUGUUGGGAGACAGGCGGUCAGGAUGUCCAGGUGUUGGGGACUGUGUCCGAGUGUUGAGAGACAUGGUGUCAGGAUGUCUGGGUGUUGGAGAAUUGUGGUGUCCAGGUGUUGGGAGACGGGGCGUCACGAUGUCCGGGUGUUGGAGGACUGCGGUGUCCAGGUGUUGGAGGACUGCGGUGUCCGGGUGUUGGGAGACAGGGUGUCAGGAUGUGUGGGUGUUAGAGAAUUGUGGUGUCCAGGUGUUGGGGGACUGGGGUGUCCGAGUGUUGGGAGACAGGCGGUCAGGAUGUCCAGGUGUUGGGGACUGUGUCCGAGUGUUGAGAGACAUGGUGUCAGGAUGUCUGGGUGUUGG